CCCCACCCCCACCCCCACCCUGCCACUGCUUCGGGACGACUGGAUCGCCGCGCCUGGGCCGGAGCGAGCCAUCUGCGGGCACUAUGCAAAGCGGGAGACGGCGCGAGCGGCGCCCGGCUCACACUAGCUCUUCCAGGACGCAGAGAGAACCAUUCUCUGCUUUCAAUAGGACAGAAGAGCUCCUUGGCACUGGAUGCCUCCGGGUCUGGUUGAGAGAGGAAUGGUUAGGAGACUGUUCUGAGGAUACGCAGACAUCAUCCAAAGCUUCCUACAUUCAGAUGAGGACAGAGGUUGGGCCAGAGCUUUGUAUGCUUGUUACCUAAGGAUGGUUCUGACCAUGUAAGCAGAUCACAGAAGAGCCAGCCUUGACAAUGUGCUGUUGGCAACCU
rnacentral:antisense_RNA from 1 species